rnacentral:rRNA from 1 species
AUUAAAGCACCUUCGGGUGUGUAUAAAGUGGCGAACGGCUGAGUAACACGUGGGCAACCUGCCCCUCUCAUUGGGAUAGCCACGGGAAACCGUGGAUAAUACCGGAUACUUCGAGUCUCUCGCAUGGAAGACUCGAGAAAGCUCCGGCGGAGAGGGAUGGGCCCGCGGCCUGUUAGCUUGUUGGUGGGGUAACGGCCUACCAAGGCAAUGAUGGGUAGCUGGGUUGAGAGACCGACAGCCAGAUUGGGACUGAGACACGGCCCAGACUCCUACGGGAGGCAGCAGUGGGGAAUCUUGCACAAUGGGCGAAAGCCUGAUGCAGCGACGCCGCGUGCGGGAUGAAGGCCUUCGGGUUGUAAACCGCUUUCAGCAGGAACGAGGCGAAAGUGACGGUACCUGCAGAAGAAGCCCCGGCUAACUACGUGCCAGCAGCCGCGGUAAUACGUAGGGGGCAAGCGUUAUCCGGAUUCAUUGGGCGUAAAGCGCUCGUAGGCGGUCUGUUAGGUCGGGAGUUAAAUCCGGGGGCUCAACCCCCGCUCGCUCCCGAUACCGGCAGACUUGAGUUUGGUAGGGGAAGGUGGAAUUCCUAGUGUAGCGGUGGAAUGCGCAGAUAUUAGGAAGAACACCAGUGGCGAAGGCGGCCUUCUGGGCCAUAACUGACGCUGAGGAGCGAAAGCUAGGGGAGCAAACAGGAUUAGAUACCCUGGUAGUCCUAGCCGUAAACGAUGGACACUAGGUGUGGGGGAAUAUUUCUUCCGUGCCGCAGC